rnacentral:lncRNA from 1 species
GGAGAGCAUGGUGUUUUUGCUUCAUUGGAUCCAUGCAGGUCUUGGAGGGUGGUGGCCCACUCUUUCUGGGCCAAGUAGAGGGUGGCUCAGACACCCCCCCUUCCUCCAGGCUUCUCAUCUGUAACUGGUGAAGCCCGGAAGAGCUUGUUGUUCAAGAGGAAAUCUUGUGUUACUUCUUUAUGAAGGACUCCAGCCUGGUGGAGAUGAAUGAGUCCUGAAGAUGGAAUCGAAGCUGUUUGGGCACAAACAAGGUUUCACUCUUGUUGCCCAGGCUGGAGUGCAAUGGUGUGAUCUAGGCUCACUGCAACCUCCACCUCCCGGGUUCAAGUGAUUCUCCUGUCUCAGGCUCCCAAGUAGGUGGGAUUACAGUACUUUAAUCAGCAUUUAAUGACCCAGUCGAAAAUUCAUUGUUUGGACCCAAGCACUGGUGGGAAAGGCAGGAGGGGAGGCCUGCCUUCCUUCCUCCCUCCCGAGCCCUACAGCAGGCCAUGGAGUGGUGAGCGAGUUCGUACAGUGCCAACCACAUUCCCAGAAACUUCCAGCAGAGGUUAAUCCUGCUCCUCUCAGGAAAAAGUGAUUCAGCUCCGGUCCACCCUGGGUGCAGCGGUCCUUCUGCCAAGAUGCCUUCAUAUCAUACAGCUAUUAUUUUCGGGAGGAUUCCAAGUGAGGGCAGUCAGGGUGGGCUUGGCCCAUUCUCUAGACUUUGGAAGGUAAUGUUCUAUAGAGGCCUGUUCUGAAGCUUUACCAGGUCAAACCGGAGAAGAACCCAACAAGUAACUCAUCCCAGCCUAACUAUUCUUCAAGGGCAAUCAACCUACAGCAUCCAAGCACAGAGAAAUCAAAUCCAUGGAGAAUCUUCAAAUUAGGCUCAGAAUCCAUUUGGGUCAAUGAAUUUACUGUUAUUAAGAUCUUAGUUGUGUUCAACCAUGAUUUGACAUACCUUAGAGUGAGAAGAUAUUCUUCCUGGCCUCAGACUAGUUGAAGGUAGAGAGAGAGACAGGCCCUUGGGUGUGGGGAGACCUCUCCUGGGAUAAUACACACAAAAAACCAAGAGCUGCUCACUGUGGUGCAGGAGACAGCAGGGCCUGAAGCCAGAGGCUCUGUGUCCUUGAAUACAAUGUUUUACUCCUCUGACCCCUGUUACUGUGAUUUGGAGAGGCAGACAAUAUAGGAUGGGCUUUGCAGGCAGGGAGGUCCAGUUAUAAUCCCAGCUCUUACUAAGUUGGGUAAGACUCACUCUGAGACUUAGUUUCUUCUGUCAUCUCUCAAUAGAAUCAUAAAGGUACUUUCCUCUUAGUGUUGUUUUAAAAUUCAGUAAAAUAAUGCAGGCUUAGCACAGGGUCUGAUGUAAAUUUUCAAUGAAUUAUCGUUGUCAAUAUUGUUCUGGAAAACAAGAGGGCAUAUUAGAAGAUCAAAAGUACUGCCAAGCAUUGAAGUGCCAAUUCUAGAUCCAGUCUCAGCCCUCUGAGAAUGGAUAUCAUUGUUUUCAAGCCAUUCAGAAACCAAUGUGAAUUGAACACCUAGUAUGAGCUCUCUGAGGGAAGAGCCAAGUCAUGCAUUUUUUAUCUUAAGGGGUCUUCAAUACCUCUAGCCCAAAACAGUAUCUCCAUCAGGAUUCUUCUCUGAUAGUGUUCAUUUCUUUUUUCUCAAUGGAUGCCUUAAAAAAAAAAUCCUACAAGGAAACCUGUACUCCUCAAAUACACCACUCAGGUGACCAUUAAAUCAUUUACAUUGUUAA